rnacentral:rRNA from 1 species
UACGUAGGGUGCAAGCGUUAAUCGGAAUUACUGGGCGUAAAGCGUGCGCAGGCGGUUAUGUAAGACAGUUGUGAAAUCCCCGGGCUCAACCUGGGAAUUGCAUCUGUGACUGCAUAGCUAGAGUACGGUAGAGGGGGAUGGAAUUCCGCGUGUAGCAGUGAAAUGCGUAGAUAUGCGGAGGAACACCGAUGGCGAAGGCAAUCCCCUGGACCUGUACUGACGCUCAUGCA